UNUGUGUGCGCACUACUGCUUAUAUAUAUG
rnacentral:piRNA from 1 species